CAUAGCUCAGCUGGAUAGAGCGUCUGGCUACGGACCAGAAGGUCGCGGGUUCGAAUCCUACUGC
rnacentral:tRNA from 1 species